rnacentral:sRNA from 1 species
GGUAGGACAAAGCCAUACAAAGGCCAACACAUAUUGUGAAAGAGCUGAAGGAUCAAAUCAAGGAGCUCAAUAGAAAACUCAACCAAGUACCACUCAACAUCAAGGACGCCCCUGACAAUGGAGCCACUAUUCUGGUCAGCAAAGAAGGAUGUGAAUUCACAUCGGAAUGGUAUAGAGGAGAAGACUAUCUUAAUAAAAAAAGAAGCUUACUAUGAGGACAUGGCCACUGAGUACCCAAUUGCAGACUUGUCAAGAAAUCCUAAUGAGUAUGAUGAUCACUCUACUCAAGAAGGAGAGGAGACCUCAUUUCCUCUCUCCAAUCCACCUUGAGCCUAAUGAGUAUGAGAAGUCAAGCUUAGAGACAUAAAAGAGGCUCACUUGGGAGGGAAUCCCAUGUCUAUCUUUGUACAUAUCUUUAUUUUUCCUUAUUGUUUUUGAUGCAUUUGGUUAGUGUCUUCAGGAGAAAAGUAUAAAGAGCUGAGUGAAGUGGAUUCUGGCUCUGAGAGUACAGAAGUAUACUCGACCACAGAGCAAUGAAAAAUACUCGACCAUGUUUUAGCUUAUCCACGCUAGGAGAUCACUCGAUCACGGUGUUGGCCGCAACAGAAGAAGGGAGAUCGAGUAUACUCAUGGCGGUACUGGCCGCCAUAGAGGCAAUGAGGUCGAGUACCGACAUGCUAGAGCUGAGACAGAACUGGGCGACUCUUCACUAGCCUGGGAGCAAUCACAUGUAGCCAUUGAUGACCAACUCCGUUCAUUCUUCGACUGAGGUAAGCGCCUCACUUCAACAUUGUACUAUAUCAUCUCUUGCUUAUAUUUUGUUUCUGUUAUGUGUUUUGUCCUAAGUACUCUCUUCCAAAUUUUGCCACACAGAGGACUAUGUGAUUUAAGUUUGGGGGAGGUCUCAGGAAGUGUGUGUUGCAUUGUAUAUACUCUUGAGUUGAGUCUGCAUUCAUCUAUAAAAAAACAAAA